AGGAGAAGCCCGGAGCCCCCCACCCUCGCGGCGGUCACGCUCCCUCCCGCUCCCGCCAGGCCCGCGCGGCCCUUCACCUUGAUCCGCACGUAGCAGUGGGUGCCCAAGGAGGGGUCGCUCAGGCACGCGGGAGGGUGCUCCCGGGCGGGCCGCCGGAAGGUCUGCGCCGGCCCCUUGCCGAGGCUCCACAAAAGUUUGAGCAGGUGGAUGGAGGCGCAGAGCCCGCAGUAGCAGUAGACCAGGGACCAGAAGAGCAGGGACCGGAGCGUGAGCAUCAGGCGGGGCAGGCAAUCCCGCAGCCUCGCCAUUGGGAGGCGGCGGCGGGGCCCACUGCCCUUCCUCGGGAGCGGGUGAGCGAGCGCCGCAGCGCGCCAGGCCAGCCCGCCGUCGCCUCUCGACGCGCGCCUCCCCCGGCCCGGGGCGGCCGGCGUUCCGUGUCACCGCGGCGGCUCCGCACACGCGCCGCGCCCAGCCCGGAGCGCGCAGGGGAGAGCCGGGCCUGCGGGGUGCGGCGGGCCAGGCCGGGGUGCAGAGCUUGGCUGUCUUCCGCGGAGAGCGAGAUCCCGUUUCAAAAUCGCAAAACUGUGGGGGAGGAUGAAGGCGAGACUUUCCCAAACCAUCCUGGGCACCAAAGAAGGUAGCGCCACUCAGUCUUCUUUGUUGUUCUCAAUGUAUCAAGCAAAACUAUUUCUAAGCCCACAUAUUCGUGUGUCAUAGUUCAGGGACACAGGUCAGCGACAAACUUCCAUGCUAUUACACCCAAAGAGAUUCUUUAGAGUGCAAAAUCACUCUGCACUCUGAAAGAUACCAGCCUUCCUCUUCUCAAAAUCUUUCGUGGAAUCAUAAUUUCUGUAGAAAUCCGCCUAUGCCUUGCCUGGUUCAGCCACAGCAAACUUACAGAGAGCUGCAACCCCAGGGAUACAACGAAUGCUUCAACAACGUGACGCGGCAGAAGCCUGGCCAGAAGGCCACACACCUGAGAGUUCGUCGAAGGGCUGGAAGCCGUGAGAGUGACAGUCCUCGGGUUUCGCCGUGUUGGCUGGGCUGGUCUCCGCCUCAUGACCGCGAGUGAUCUGCCCGCCUGGGCCUCCUGAAGUGCCGGGAUUGCAGACGGAGUCUCGCUCACUCAGUGCUCAAUGUUGCCCAGGCUGGAGUGCAGUGGCGUGAUUUCGGCUCACUACAACCUCCACCUCCCAGCCGCCUGCCUUGGCCUCCCAAAGUGCCAAGAUUGCAGCCUCUGCCCGGCCCCCACCCCAUCUGGGAAGUGAGGAGCGUCUCUGCCUGGCCGCCCAUCGUCUGGGAUGUGAGGGGCCCCUCUGCUGGGCCGCCCAGUCUGGGAAGUGAGGAGCGCCUCUUCCCGGCCGCCAUCCCAUCUAGGAAGUGAGGAGCAUCUCUGCCCGGCCGCCCAUCGUCUGGGAUGUGGGGAGCGCCUCUGCCCCGCCGCCCUGUCUGGGAUGUGAGGAGCGCCUCUGCCCGGCAGUGACCCCGUCUGGGAACUGAGGAGCGUCUCUGCCUGGCCGCCACCCCGUCUGGGAGGUGAGGAGCAUCUCUGCCCGGCCGCCCUGUCUGAGAAGUGAGGAGCCCCUCCGCCCGGCAGCCGCCCAGUCUGGGAAGUGAGGAGCCCCUCCGCCCGGCAGCUGCUCCCUCUGGGAAGUGAGGAGCGUCUCCGUCCGGCAGCCGCCCUGUCCGGAAGGUGGGGGGCAGCCCCCGCCCGGCCAGCCGCCCCGUCCGGGAGGGAGGUGGGGGGCAGGCCCUGCCGGGCCAGCUGCCCCGUCAGGGAGGGAGGUGGGGGACGCCUCUGCCCGGCUGCCCCGUCUGGGAAGUAAGGAGCCCUUCUGCCCGGCCGCCACCCCGUCUGGGAGGUGUACCCAACAGCUCAUUGAGAACGGGCCAUGAUGAAGAUGGCGGUUUUGUUGAAUAGAAAAGGGGGAAAUGUGGGGAAAAGAAAGAGAUCAGAUUGUUACUGUGUCUGUGUAGAAAGAAGUAGACAUAGGAGACUCCAUUUUGUUCUGCACUAAGAAAAAUUCUUCUGCCUUGGGAUGCUGUUAAUCUAUAACCUUACCCCCACCCCCGUGCUCUCUGAAACAUGUGCUGUGUCCACUCAGGGUUAAAUGGAUUAAGGGCGGUGCAAGAUGUGCUUUGUUAAACAGAUGCUUGAAGGCGGCAUGCUCCUUAAGAGUUAUCACCACUCCCUAAUCUCAAGUACCCAGGGACACAAACACAGCGGAAGGCGGCAGGGUCCUCUGCCUAGGAAAACCAGAGACCCUUGUUCACAUGUUUAUCUGCUGACCUUCCCUCCACUAUUGUCCUAUGACCCUGCCAAAUCCCCCUCUCUGAGAAACACCCAAGAAUGAUCAAUAAAUACUAAAAUAAAUAAAUAAAUAACCCAUUAGACUGAGAAGUGAAGUGUCAGUACAAGGACAGUCUACUAAAAUUGCUGAAAAAUAGCAAUUAUAGUAUUUAGUGGUGGCACAGAUAUUUAUAUUUGGUUUUGUAGAUAUUUGUGUCAGCUAUAUCAAAUUAAUUAAAUUAAACCAACAACUAUUUAAAAAAAAAAGAAAAUAGUUUCCAUAAUUAUAUUAGAAAUUGAAUCUACCAGUAUAUAAUAUGAAUAAUACAACUAUGGAGGUUUAAUUUCAGGAAAGAAUGGUCCAACAUCAAGAAAUCUAUAAACAUAACUAUAUCGACAUUUGUAGAAGAAAAACCACAUAUCAACAAAUGCCAAUAAAGGCAUGUGGCAAAAUUCAGCAGCUAUUCCUUAAAAGCUAAAUUAAUCCAGGUAGCAAGACACUGCUUAAACAUUACCAUAACCAGAAAACAGUAAACUAUAGUGAAAUCCUCUAUUUUAAGAGUUGGGAAUGAGAAAGAAUGAUUGCUAUUAGCUCUAUUAUUUAACAUUAUUUUUGGAAAUUCAAGCUAAGGAAAUAACCCAAAAAGAACCAAAUAAAUUUUAAAAAUUACAUAAAAAUUGGAAAAGAGGCGAAAAUAUAGCUGUUUGCAGAUUAUAUUUCUUUAAACCUUAAAAAAUUAAUAGAAUACAAUUUGGUAAGGUGUCUAGAUACAAGGUAAGUAUACAAAGUCAAUAGUUUUUCCAUAUCCUAGCAUUAACCAAUUAGAAAUUGAAACUGCAUUCACCAGAUUGCAGGAGAGCUCAACAUUGUAUCAUUCCCCCAUAUUAUUGCAUAUAAUUAAUUUUUGAUAAUAUUCCACUGUAAGAUCAUGAUAGUUUAUUCCUUCUUCUAUUAAAAGCAUUUGGGUUGGUCCUGUCUUUCCUUCCCUCCUCCCUCUCUUCUCCCUCUUUCCCUAUUAUGAUCCUUGCAUAUGUUUUGUAUAUUCUUGUACAUGUCUCCUUAGUCUGUUUUGUAAUAGCUUCUCUAGGUUAUAUACUUUGAGCGAAUUGCACAGUUAUGACUACAGAACUAUUUGUAUUAGUCUAUUCGCUCAUUGCUAUAAAGAAAACCUGAGACUGUGUAACUUAUAAAGAGAUUUAAUUGGCUCAUGGUCCUGCAGGUUGUAUAGAAAGCAUAGUAGCUCCUGCUUUUGGGGAGUCCCCAGAGAGCUUCUAAUCAUGGCAGAAGGCAAAGGGCGGGGGGCAAGGUGGCAGAAGCAGGAGCAAGAGAGAGAAGGGGGAGGUGCCACACAUUUUUAAACAACAAAGAUCUCGUGAGAACUCUCACUAUACAGUACUAAGAGGGGAUGAUGCUAAACCAUUCAUCAAGACUCCAACACCAUGAUCCAAUCACCUUCUACCAGACCCCACCUCCAGCACUGGGAAUUACAUUUCAACAUGAGAUUUAGGUGGGGACACGUAUCCAAACCAUAGCACUAUUCAAUUUUAUAAAAUAAUGUUAAAUUGUUUUCAAAAAUUUUUUUUCUUUUAACCUUUCUGUCUUCUAGGCUAGAGUGCAAUGGCAUGAUCAUGGCUCAACUGCCACCUUGAACUCCUGGCCUCAAGUGAUCCUCCUGCCUUGGCCUCCCAAAGUAUUGGGAUUACAGGCAUGAGCCACUGCACUCAGCCAAUGUUGUUAUGUUUAUACUCCUGACCACCAGUGUGUGAGUUCUUACUGAUCCUCUCCCAACAUUUGAUAAUGCUAGAUUAUUUUAGCUAAUGUGAUGGAUGGAUAAAAAGUGGUAUCUCCUAUGGUCUCAAUUUUCAUUUCUCAGUAUUAAAUAAUCUGAGCAUCUUUUCAUCUUUUUAACCUAUGUUUCUUCUGAAGUGAAAUGCCUGUGAGUGGCAGAAAUUACCAAUAUCCACAUGUUGCUCCAAAUGUCUCAUGCUUAGUCAGGUGUGGCCAAGUGAUUGGGUUCUGGCCAGAAGGAUAUGAGUGCAAGAGGUUUAAGUUUCUCCCAAGUCUGGGCAUUAAAAACACUGUAGACUGGCAUGGUAGCUCAUGUCUAUAAUCCCAGCACUUUGGAAGGCUGAGGCGGGCAGAUAGAUCACUUGAGCCCAGGAAUUCGAGAUCAGCCUGGGCAGCAUGACAAAACCCUGUCUCUACUAAAAAAUACAAAAAAUUAGCUGUGCAUGGUGGUGUGUGCCUGUAGUCCCAGCUACUUGGGAGGCUGAGGUGGGAGGAUCACCUGAGCCCAGGAAGUUGAGGCUGCAGUGAGCUGUGAUUGCACCACUGCACUCCAGCCUAGGUGAUGGGAGUGAGACCCUGUCUCAAAAAAAAAAAAAAAAAAAAAAACAUAAAAAACAAACAAAUUCUGUGUAAUCUUCUGACCUUAUAUUCCUGUGCUGUAUCAAUUUUAGACAUAUUUUCCAGGUGGUAUAACUACAUGAUGGAGUAGAGCCACUCAAACUGCUUCAAUGUCUAUGAAAAUGGAAUAUCAUUUCUACAUUUCUUAUAGAGUAGAACAUUUUGUGGUAAACUUUUUUUUCAUCCUCCUUUUGAUAGUUUUGCCAAGUUAAGAAUCCCAAGCUGCCUCCCCCACCCCAGUUUUCCUUCUUAUUUAAUCAAAUAUUGGCAGAUAAACAUAAUUACAGCACAAUUCAGAUAAUUCUUCAUGUUGUAUACAUAGAUCUUUAAAUAUAAUCUAAAAGGAAUCUGCAGUCCACAAUGACACACAUACAGCUUUUCCUUACUUUGCUUAAAAAACAUUAUUUGAGGCAGGGUCUCACUCUCACCCAGGCUGGAGUGCAGUGGUGUGAUCUUAUCCUUGCCUCCCAGGUUCAAGUGAUUCUCAUGCCUCAGCCUCACGAGUAGCUGGGACUACAGGCAUGCACCACCAUGCCUGGCUAAUUUUUGGUUUGUUUUUGUUUUGGUAGAGGUGGGGUUUCACCAUGUUGGCCAGGCUAGUCUUGGACUCCUGACCUCAAGUGAUCUGCCCACCUUGGCCUCCCAAAGUGCUAGGAUGAGCCACCACGCCUGGCAAAAAAGUUUUUAAACCAUACAAAUUUAGAAUCCUAUCAGCACACACUUUGCUGUGACAUAGUUCAGACACAAAUAGGGUACAAAAAAAUAUGCUAACAUAUAUAUAAACUUUGUUAAUGAAAAAAAACAGAAACAAGUAUGAUUGAGAUACAUUUAGUCACUGAUAACUAGUUGUGCCCUAAGGGAACAACUAAGAGAAACUGUGCUGCAGAGAAAACCUAUAUAUAGAUAUACAACAAGAAAAUAAACUAUAAGAUUAAUACAUGCAUGUUUAAUACUGGAAAAAAAUCACAGCCCUCCAAAGUUUCUCCAUAUUUCAAGUCGACAGUUAUUUUUCUCUCAAAACUUUGAGGAUUUAAUUCUACUGUUUCUGGUAUUCAUUGUUACUGAUAACUCGUUUAUAUUUGGUAAAAUAAAAAUAAGCUGCUUUUCCCUUGCUGCUUGCAAAAUUUUGCUUAUGGUGUGUAGGCCACUGAAAAAUGUUUUAGGUAUGAAUUUCUUCUUAAUUAUCUUGUUUGGAAUGUUACACUUACAGGAUAAAAUGACUUUUUUAAAUUUUAAGAAAAUCACAAUUAUUGUCUCCUCAAAUAAUGACCCUCCUUAUUCUUGUAGUUGAUUCCAAGGACUCUAAUUUAGAUAUAUGUUAGGUCUUUCCAUUCUAUCCUGUAGAUCAGGGGUUGGCAAACUUAUUUUUUCAAUAAGAGGUCAGAUACUAAAUAUUUUGCCUUUGAGGGUUUUUUUUUUAUUUUGCUUCUCCUUGUCUCUCUGUGAUGUAUCCUGGUAUCUUUAUUUGGAUAUAGCUUCUAACCCAUUAAUUUUCUCUUCCCCUAUGUCUAAUUGUUUUAACCUAUCCAUUGAGAUUUUUAAAAACUGAGUCUAUGUCAACAUUUUCUUACCUAGAAGUUUCAUUUUUUUUAACCUGCCUAUUCUCCUCCUCCCAAAAGUCUUUUUUUUUUUUUUUUUAAUGGAGUCUUGCUCUGUCACCCAGGCUGCAGUGCAGUGGUGCGAUCUUGGCUCACCAUAACCUCCAUCUCCUGGGUUCAAGUGAUU
rnacentral:lncRNA from 10 species